rnacentral:rRNA from 1 species
GACGAACGCUGGCGGCGUGCUUAACACAUGCAAGUCGAACGGUGAAGCGCCUUCCUUUUUGGUGGGUGGGGAGGAGUGGCGAAGGGGGGAGUAACACGUGAGUAACCUGCCCCCUCCUUCUUGAUAACCGCAUGAAAGUGUUGCUAAUACGGGAUAUUCUGAGUCUGUCGCAUGAUUGGUGUGGGAAAGAUAUUGUUUCGGUGGUGGAUGGGCUCGCGGCCUAUCAGCUUGUUGGUGGGGUGAUGGCCUACCAAGGCGGUGAGGGGUAGCCGGCCUGAGAGGGUGGACGGUCACAGUGGGACUGCGCCACCCACACGACUCCGACGGGAGGCAGCAGUGAGGCAUAUUGAACGAUGGGAGCAAGGCUGAUGCAGCGCCGCCGCGUGAGGGAUGGUGGCCGUCGGGUUGUGAACCUCUUUCGCGAGUGAAGCAUGCCUGACUUGUCUGUGGACGGGUUGACGGUAGCUGGAUAAGAAGCGACGGCUAACUACGUG